rnacentral:misc_RNA from 1 species
GAUGAAGAACGCAGCGAAAUGCGAUAAGUAGUGUGAAUUGCAGAAUUCAGUGAAUCAUCGAAUCUUUGAACGCACAUUGCGCCCCUUGGUAUUCCAUGGGGCAUGCCUGUUCGAGCGUCAUUUGUACCUUCAAGCUUUGCUUGGUGUUGGGUGUUUGUCUCGCCUUUGCGUGUAGACUCGCCUUAAAAUAAUUGGCAGCCGGCGUAUUGAUUUCGGAGCGCAGUACAUCUCGCGCUUUGCACUCAUAACGACAGCGUCCAAAAGUACAUUUUACACUCUUGACCUCGGAUCAGGCAGGGAUACCCGCUGAACUUAAGCAUAUCAAUAAGCGGAGGA